UGCAGGAUGUUCUUAAUGGUGUGAAGCCUUUUGGGAAAACCUGUAUGGGCUUGAUCCAAAGCAGACAAUUCAUUCUAUGCGAAGAGUAUCUUUGGGAUGACUUAGCCUAAUAUAACACAUUCAGACCAAAGAACAGUUCUUGUUAUUUUGUGAAUGCUUGAGCUUGUAGCAUGCAAACAUAGCCAUGCAUUUCCUGAAACUAGAGUACUAGACAUAAACUGAUAAAUAUAUAUAUACACACACAAGCUUGAAACAAGCUGAUUGCUCAAAGACAUUAUGCCCUUUUGCCUUUUUUUUUUUGGGCACGGCACACAAGGACAGAAACACACAAAGAACCAAAAAUGAAAAAAAAGAAAGAAAAGAGGAGAAACAACCCUCACUGUUAUAUCAACUUGUAUCAAAUAUCAUUAUGGAGAUGGAUAAUAAGGAGUGGCAAUCAAGUAAAGCUCACUCUUUCUUGCUGCAGUUAUUCCAGAAACCUCAGUCAUGUCCAUAUCCUCUGACUUCUGACCAUCAGGCAAUUUCCAAUCAAAAUGAUAGAGCAAUUUGGCUAGUGGAAGAUGAACAUUGAUCAAACCAAAUGUAAUUCCAGGACACAUUCUCCUUCCGGCACCGAAAGGAAGAAACUCAAAGUUAUUCCCCAUGAAAUCCACAGAGCUCUGCUCGAAUCUCUCAGGUAUAAAGCUUUCCGCAUCUUCCCAAUACUUUGGGUCCCUUCCCAUCGACCAAACAUUAACCAUGACUCUUGUUUUUAAUGGGAUAGUGUAUCCGUUGAUGUUUGUUUCUUCCCUGCAUUCUCUGGGGGCUAAGAGAGGGAGUGGAGGAUGAAGUCUGAAGGUUUCUUUAACAACUUGUUUUAGGUAUUUCAAUUCCUCAAUAACAUCCUCAUCGAAAGUUUCUUUCCCUUUGAAUGCUUCUCUUACUUCUGCUUGUGCCUUUUUUAACACACUUGGGUUCCUCAUCAUUUCUGUCAUAGCCCAUGUUGCUGUUGUUGAUGAAGUUUCUGUUCCCGCAGAGAACAAGUCCUACAUUAUUUCAUUAUUAAUCAAAGAAGAAUUAACCUAAAUUGGGCUGCAGUAAGUAGAUCAAGAGGUCGUUCUGCUCCUUCCCAGUAUGUAUAAUAUACUUGUCAAAGUUGAAGGCAUUUCUUUAAUGCCUGAUUAAUUAUGUGUAUGUCUGCUUACAAAAGAAUGUUAAAUACUUUUUAUAUUCAGUAACUCAAAAAUAGUUUUAGAGAUUUUCCCUAUAAGUUUAAGAAUACUUACAACCAUAAUUGCUUUGAUGUUGUCAUUGGUGAUUGGGAUUUUGAGUUCCCCACUCUCCAUUAAUCUUAGAAGAACAUCAAUUAAAUCUUCACCUCCAAAUGCACCAUUUCCCUUUUUACCACUUGCAAUAUUCUUCUUGUGCUCAUUGAUAACAUCCUCAACAAUAACAUCAACAUUUUUGUGAACUUUCAAGAUUCUACUCCUCACUCCACUUAGUACAUGAAGGAUCUUGAUUGAAGGGAAAAUGUCAGCCAAACUAAAUCCACCUGCCAAUUCCAUCAAUUCCUUCACCAUUUCAAUGAAUUUCUCUUGGUCUUUCAACAACUGAUUCCCAAAUGCUGCCUUACAUGUAACUGAACUCGCGUACCAUAAAAUCCGUUCCGUAACAUUUAUUGGCUCACCAUGUGUCGAUGACUGGAUGAAUUGCACGAGACGAGAUGCCUCGUCGUGCCAGAUGGAACUAAAGGACCGGACAUUCUUGGCGGUGAGGAGUUCCAUGACACAUACUUUACGCAUUUGUCUCCAGUAUUCUCCAUAAGGACUAAACACUAUGUCUGUGCUCUUGUAACAUAUUAUGUCGAUGGAUGCUACUUUAGGCCUCGAUGCAAAAGCAAGGUCAUGAGUUUUCAAUACCUCUCGCGCCAUGUCCAUGGAAGAAACUACGAUCAUAGAAAUUUCCCCUAGUUGAAGGUGCAUGAGAGGCCCAUAUUUUUUUGCCCAAGUUUGUGAGUGCAUGAUGAGGAAGUUCACCUUCUAAUGCUAAGUGAUGAAGACUUCCUAAGAAAGGCAAUUUCCAUGGUCCUGGAGGAAAUUUUUUGUUAAAGUUUCUUGAUUUUUUCCAUUCAACAAGUAGUAGAUAGAGGAAUGAUAGGAAAAGAAAUAAGAGAAUGAAAUUGAAUGGAAAUUGGAACUCCAUUAGAUAGCUAAAGCUAAGAGAGGGGUGUCUCUCAAAUCUCAAGUUCAAUGCUUUGUUGUAGAGUGCUAUCUUUUGACCUUAUGCUAGUGCCAGAGGGAAAUGAUCCAAGGGUUAGGGCUAUCUUUUGGCCCAUCCAAAUGCCAGAGAGAAAUGAUCCAAGGGUUAGGCUAUCUUUUGGCCUAUCCUUGAAGAUAUUUUCCUUAAAAAUAAGUAGUUUUCUUAUAUAGUUUGUUUUUAAUAUUGAAAAGCAGAAAAAAUGUAAAAUCUAAACAAACACUAUGAAAUAAGAUUGGGGGUGGCGGUGGGUAGGAUUGAAAUGUCUGAAACUUGUUUUUAUGCUUUUAUUAGAAUAACUUUUUUUUUUCGAUUUUGGAGCGAUAGGAUUUUAAUUACUUAAUACUUAGCUUCUAACAAGAUUCUGACACAUAUCAUAUUUUCCAGCCACACGUAGAGCCUCCAAGACGAAGACGAUUUGUAUUAUUGAUUAACUGCCACAUAGGCAUGACAAAAUCUAUUUGCCGAUGCAGUGUCGGAUGCUAAAAUAUCUUUGGUUUUAUUUGGAACAAACUACGAGCUAUACAUUACUCAUGUUAAUUCGUCAGCAGCAUCGUAAGUUUGUGUACUGUUUUUUUUUUAUAUAUAUAAUAGUAACGAUAAUUUGUGUUAUGCAUGGCCUCAGUAAUAUAAUUCUAAUUACAUUUGAUUAUACUUUUUAUGAUAUGUGAUUCAUAUUUGAAGGUGCUACUAUUUUUACGAUAAAAUGUUGAUUUUCAAGCAAAUUUUUUUCGUCUUUUAUCAGAAACAAAAACAACAUGCAAAUAGAUAAACAAUAUGUUCAGCUUUACAUAUUAAUUACCUAUUUCCAAAUAAAAUUAUACAUCAAUUAAUAUGAAUAUUAUGAAUUUUUUUUUCAUAUUAAUUACUUUAUUAAUUUAAAAUGCAUACAAAAUUUAAAGACGACAAAUAAAAAUGAGUACAAAUAUAGAUGACGGAAGAAAAUAUCUUUGAUUUCAUUUAGAAUUUAUAAGAAAACAUAAUUAGUUUUAUUUAAAAUUUGUUAAAAUAUUAUCUAUUUAUUAACAAUAUAUAAGUGAAAACAAGUUAGCUAUUAAUAAUAUUAAUAUAUAAGUAAGAACAAGCCAAACAAGUAACGAUCAAGCAGACAUAUUGUCCACCAAGUACGUGUUUAUCCACACUUAUCUAUUAAUAUAUAAAAUAAAUAGUGGAAGUGGAGGUGGAUAUUUGACUUUUAAUGCAUCAAUAAUGUCAUCUUUUCCUAUAGAGAAAAUACAUCAAAUCACAUUUAAACUUAACAACAAAAGUUACUUUGACACUUUAAUUAUACUGAUAUUUAUUUACCCCUUAACAAUUUUCAAAUGAAUUAAAUACGACCUAAUUGAGAGAGUGAACCUACUCUCCUAAAAACGUGUGAAGAAAGAAAAAAGAAAAACUGAAAUUACAAGAUUAUAUGUGUCAUUGUAUUAUUGGCCAACAUAUAAAUAAUAUUUUAAAUCUUUUUUCUUGAUAUAUUAACUUUUAAAAUUAUGUGAAUUUUCUUAUAUAGAGAUAAUGGAAUUUAUGAGUCCCAUUUAAAUAAAAUUUUAAUUUUUUUCUCUUUAAUUGUUAUUGACAUCGAUUUUAUGAAAUUCAGUACUAACAUCAUUGUUACAACCAUUAAUUCCACAACAUCCACUACCAAUAGUAAUAAUAAUAAUGGAGAAGAAUGGAGUCAUGAGGAAUACACAUUCCUAAAUAAUCAAUUUUAUAAUAUCUACAUCGAUUCACAAUACCCAUUAAGAAGACACAUUCUUAGAUCCAUAAUUUUAAUUAAUGUUCUUGCAGUUUCAAUCUAACCAAUAAAAAUAGUGAAUGAAGAUCGUAUAAGAAAGUUGAAAGAUUCAUAUUUUUUGCAUCACCAAAUAAUAGAAGCUCAAGAAACGGGUCACUUAAAAUUCAAGAAAAAAUACAUUUAUAAAAUGUAAUCAUCAGGAUUUUACUUAUGAUUUUUGGUAGAAAUCUUGUUGAUAAAAUGUAUGAAGCUUGAGACUAUAGCUAAAGAAACUAUUGUUGAAAGAAAUUAGAUUCAAUUUUCGGUUGGCAUUGUUGAAAUGAUUUAUCUUCAAUUUUUGACUGCCAUUACUGAGGAUUUACCUCCAAUUUGGUACUGAUGAUAAAUCUCUUUGUUAAAUAAAUGAGCCAACAUAAUUUUUGAAAUUAAUUAGUUUAGUGUAUAUAAGUUAAAAAAAGAUAUAUUUAAAGAAAACGAAAAAAUGGUGAAUAAACAGUAAGAAAUAAAAAAUUAAUGAUGUGACGCUUAGAUGGCUAUGACGUCAUGCUUAUAUUGCUAUGACAUGACGGGUGAGAGUAGUAUUUUAAUCUGAGGGUGGUAUUUAAUUCAUUUGAAGGUUGUUAAGAGGGUAAAUAAAUGUCCGUAUAGUCAAAGUGCUAAAGUAAAUUUUGUUACCAAAUUCAGGGUGAUUUAAUGUAUUUUCUCUGAAUAAAUCAUGACAUAAUACUAUAGUACAUGAUUUCAGUGGGGCUACCUGUAAAGCGGCAACUAUAUAUUAUUCCCUUUGUUCCAUUUUAUGUGAUACUAAUUCUUUUUUAGUACAUUCAAAAAAUGUCACCUUACUAUAAUUAGAAAUAUUUUAACUUUAAAAUUUCUCUUUAAACCUUAAUGAAAUGAUUUUCGACCACACAAAUAUCUAAGGAUAGUUUUAAGAGCAACUUUCACAUAUAGCAAACAUAAAAAUCAUAUUUGUAUGUUAUAGCUAUAGUUUGCAUUAUUACGCUCUAUAACAAAUUUUAUGUUUGCUAUGGAGCUUUUGAUUUGUAUAAUUCGCUAGAUACAUCCAAUUUUAUACAAAUUGUUCAGUUUUGUAUAAAUUCAUUUAUACAUUGUAAUUUGUAUGAUAAGAUCUGUAUUUGUAUAAUUAUAAGUGUAUAGGACAAAAGUCUAUGUAUUUGUAUUUGUAUAUACACUUUUCUCUCGCUUUAUACAACACAAACACAUUUUAUACAUUUUAUACCGAAUGUGUAAUUGUAUCGAAAAUGGCUAAUUGUAUACCGAAUCAGAUGACAAAAAAUGGGAUGUUUGCUGCAAAUUACAAAUAAAAUAAACUAUGGCUAAAUAUGAUAUUAAUUCAUUUGAGAUUAUCGAUGAGAGAUGAGAGUUAAAAACAUAAUAUAUAUAAUUAGUGGGAGUUUACAUUUACCUAAUGAAGAGUUUGAGGUAAUUUAUGUAUACUAAUAUGAUGAUUUACUAUUUACUAUUUAAUUUAUUAAAUAAUUUAUAACAUUUAAAUGUAAUGUAGAAAUAAAACUAUAAUCUAAGGAUAAAAUAUGUAAAAGAAUUCAAAUAUAUUAAAUGUUUAAUGGAAAAUCAUUUUGAUUAAUUAUUAAAAAAUUCAUAGUAACUAUGAUUAUGAAAAAUCAUCACUAUUACUGCGUGGAAGAUGUAAAGAUUGUUGGUUUUUUACUGCUAAUAAUAACUUACAAUUUAAUAAUGAGUAUUGAAUUGUAAGUCUAGCUGAAAAUAGGAGUGUUAAUUAUCAUAAUACGAACAGUUAAAAUUCAUUGAAUCCCAAAAUAAAUAUUAAAUAAAAAAAAUAAUAUUUUAAAUAAUUUCAAGAAAAUAAAUCAAUAGCAUCUACGUGUCAUAGCCACAUAAUGCAUGAUAGAAACGGUCAGCUGCUAAAAUAGAAUAAACUUUGGUUUUAUUUGAAACAAACUACGAGCUAUACAUUACUCAUGUUUUUUUGUCGUCAACACCUUCCGAUAUUUUCAGAACUUGCAUCUCUGUCUUUUUCUUUUAAAAAAUAAAUGAAUUUGUGAAUAAACAUUGAGUCCGUGCACAAUACGGAUGUUUCACUCUUGAACUUGACUCGAAAAGUCAGUUACACAGUUAAACUAUCAUAACGAUCUAUUACACAUUUUUAUUGUUUAAAAAUGAUAUUUUUUACCCCUAAAACUGACGUGGCAAAAAAUAAAAAAAGAAAAGCGCGUUUGACAGUAAAUAAAGUAAAAAAAAUAAAUUAAAAUCUUCUUUUUAAUAUCACCCUACCCCGCCCUCCACCCACAACCCAACGCCUCUUCUUCUUCUUCAUAAGCAACCAUCUUCUUCUUCUUUAUUUUUUUUCAUCAUUUUUUCAUACCCAAUUUUCAUCCACCCCACUAUACCUUCACCAAAAUCCUCUCCCCCACCCCACCCCAUCAUAUCCUAUUUUAAUGCUUAUUCGAUUUCACCAUUUUUCAUUAUAUUUGAUUUUUCUCUUCGGCUUUGUUGGUGGUUGAUAAAAUUGAUGAUUAAGUUUAAAAAAUAAAGUAUAAUGAUGGAUUUGUUGGCGUGGGUGACAAAGAAGCGGGAAUUGAAGGUGGUGGAGAAGAAAAAUUCGAUAUUGACAAUGGUGGUAGUGAUAUUUGGUGGUGGGUUUGUACCUUUUGAUGGUGAUGAUGUAAUUUUGGUGAUGAGUUUGUUUAUGGGUGUCAAAUUUUGUUGUGGAUCUUUCUAAUUUUUGUGGGGAUAAUGGUGAUAGUAUGAUUUCGAUGGUGGAUUUGAUCAUAGGUGGUGAAAUUUUUGGUGACUAUUUUGAUUUUCAUGGUGGAAUAUAUAGAUUUGGUAGUAACAUGACGAUAAUAGUAGUGGUUUCAUGGUGGUGUUCAUUGAAGAAGAUACAAUUGAAUGAUAUGGAGUAUUUUAGUCAAAAUUUGACAUGACAUCUAAUGUGACAGUGACAUGACAGUAAUGUGGCGCAAAUGUGAUACAUCUCCCAUUGUGAGAGUGGUGCUACACGUUUUAGAGGUAAAAAAAAUUCACUAUUUAGUAGCAGAUGUGUGUAAUAAGUCACUAUAUUAGUUUUGUCACGCCUCAAAUUUCAUUAAGACGGACAGGCACCCGAUGCCCUAAAGGCCCGAGUGAACCAACAUGUAACCUGUGCUUACUAUGCAUAUAACUAUGACAAUCUUGUGACAAGUUCACAUAUGAUGCAGCGAUACAAACCAACAUAAGUAGACCCAAAAUUUAUAUACAAGACUUGGCCGUUGAGGCCACAACUUGUUAAGAUGCAAUUGAACUAUAUACAUAAGUCUACAAAGCCUCUCAAAGAUAGAAAAUCUUAGAGUAGGUCGGGACGGACCUCGCCUUACCCUUAACUACGAUACAAUACCAAGAUGAAUCUACCAAGGACUUAGUAAAGCUCCGAAUCAACCUGGAGCUCACCAAAAGUAGCUGAGUGUCGUGUGCUCCUAUUGAGGAGAACUACUAGCUGGAGUACCUGUGCCUGUAGCAUGAAAGGCAACGUCCCCCUUGAGGAACGUCAGUACUAAAAAAAUGUACUAAAUAUGUAAGGCAAUAACAUAUAUAAAAUAAGAGUUCAAAUGAAACCAAGUAUCAAUAUAUGUGCAUAAAUCAGAAUAGAAGACCACCUUUGUUAACUCUUGUGGGAUCAUGUAUGUUACAUUCUUGUCUUUACCUUUCUGUGUGUAAUGAUCUUUAUAAGACAUGUGAUACGAAUGACCAACUGAUCAGUGGUAUCAGAGCAGGUCAUCCUAGGGAGUCUACAAAGUCGUGUCUGUGUAGAGUCUUGCUUAUGGAUGUGUUGUGCACCACAUUUAUAAACAUGAGGCUACGGGACAUGUAGGAGUUGUCUCCUUUCUUUCAUUUCUUAGAUCGUGCGAUAGAACCAGUGUUGUAGGCGAUUCAUAUCUAAUUUCUCAAUUGUUUUAUUAUAGCAAAGAUGCCGGUUACGAGAAGGAGUAAAAGUACUGGUAAACGAGUAGAUGUGGCUGCCCAAGAAGGGACCAGCCAACCACCACCUAGUCAAGCUGUUCAAAGUGAGGCUCAAGAUGAGUCUCUAUCACAGACUUUUCCGACCACUCCAUCUCCAGAAGAUCUAAGGAGAGAAGCUGCACCUCAAGAACCCACUAUUACUGCUACCGAGCAAGAUUUGAGAAACGCAGUCCAGUUAUUGACUCGUAUAGUUGCUGGCCACGACCAAAGGCGAGAAGGUCCAGUUGCAGGUAUUAGUGGUGUAGAUAAAGCAGCUGGCACGCGGAUACGUGACUUCCUUAAUUUGGACCCUCCAUCAUUCACCGGGUCAGAUCCUAAUGAAGAUCCACAGGACUUUAUAGAUCAAAUCCAACGCACUUUGGAUGUUAUGCAUGUAAGUGGUAAAGAAGCGCUUGAGCUAGCAGCAUAUAGAUUAAAGGGUGUGGCUAUAUUGUGUUGUAUAUGAAGCUUCUCAUCAGUAAAUCUACCUGCAUAGUAGUUUACUUUCUCAUCAUAGGUCACUUGUAAAACAUGUGUUCAUAUGGUACUUGUCCGCUUCACCUAGGGUUGGGGUGUGACAAGUUUAAACGGGUAACUGACUUUUCGAGACAAGUUCGGAGGUGAAUUUAUGCCUUUUCCCUUUCUAAUAUAGAUCGAUUAGAUCAAAUAUUUGAAUACAAUUGUUAAAAGAUGUGGGACCAUUUAGUUUGCCAUAAAAUCUUAUAUAUAUGGCAGCUGACUAUACAAUUGUUAAAAUUCGCGUGACAACUUAGUUUUCCCGUAAAAUCUUAUCUACAUGACAAUUGACACAUUAAUUGACUUGUUUUGAUAAAUAGUUAGUUAAGCAAAAUUGAAAAGAGAAUGAUACUUAUGAGUUCUUUUUUUUCUAUUUCUUAGUGAAAUAUCAGUACUUAUGUGCUUGUGUAAUAAUGAAGUUGAUCAAAUGUAUGUUAUGUAAUAAUGAAGUUAAUCAUGGCACCAGAGUUCAAUAUUAGUUGUAUCUACUACAUGAGUUAUGGAUAGCCAACUGGAAUAGUUUUUGCUCUUUUCAUCCUGUUUUAAGAGUGCAUAUCUGUGUAUAUCAGAGUAUUUUUCGUUUAAGGGAUGUGCGAACAUCAAUAGCUGAAAGGCAAAAGAAGCUACAUAUGAAAAGCCUUUUGGGAAAAUCCGUACGGGCUUGAUCCAAAGUAGACAAUUCAUUCUAUGCGAAGAGUAUCCUUUGGAUGACUUAGCCUAAUAUAACAUAUUAGCCUAAUAUAACACAUUCAGACCAAAGAACUUCAUCAAAAAAAAAAAAAAACACAUUCAAACCCAAAGAACAGUUCUUGUUAUUUUGUGAAUGCUUGAGCCUGUAGCAUGGAAACUUAGCCAUGCAUUUCCUGAAACUAGAGUACUAGACAUAAACUGAUAAAUAUAUAUAUACACACACAAGCUUGAAACAAGCUGAUUGCUCAAAGACAUUAUGCCCUUUUGCCUUUUUUUUUUUGGGCACGGCACACAAGGACAGAAACACACAAAGAACCAAAAAUGAAAAAA
rnacentral:lncRNA from 1 species